rnacentral:misc_RNA from 1 species
GCAGGAUCCUGGGGAAAGAACUGAUCUGGGUUUAGGGAUGUUUGAUGGAGGAAUGGCAUUGACGUUCCACAAAUUAAAUUAUUCAUCAGUUCUUGCAGGUAAUUUACAAAAGAAUAGGACUCACUAUAGAGCAAGAUCAAAUCCACCUGUGGAUGUACACUUUUUAUCAGUUCUCGUACAAAUUGAUGAGAGUAAAAAUUCGCCACAAUCCAAGAAGAUUUCAGGUUCAGGUACUGCUCCAAAACGAUAUCAGAACCCCAAUUCCCUGCUUAAACAGGCAAAUACAGUUGGCAUCAUUGGAGGUGUAUCUGUUUUAUCUACUCUUAUUUUCCUAGAAAAGCUUGUCUGGUGGAGCUCAAGAGACGGAGAGGAAUGUAUUCCUUUUGUUGUGUGCAGCGAUCCUUCAAUAGCUAGAGUGCUCCCAUCACA